rnacentral:rRNA from 1 species
UGCCGUGGGCGCUGGAGAAUUGAGGGGGGCUGCUCCUAGUACGAGAGGACCGGAGUGGACGCAUCACUGGUGUUCGGGUUGUCAUGCCAAUGGCAUUGCCCGGUAGCUAAAUGCGGAAGAGAUAAGUGCUGAAAGCAUCUAAGCACGAAACUUGCCCCGAGAUGAGUUCUCCCUGACCCUUUAAGGGGCCUGAAGGAACGUUGAAGACGACGACGUUGAUAGGCCGGGUGUGUAAGCGCAGCGAUGCGUUGAGCUAACCGGUACUAAUGAACCGUGAGGCUUAACCUU